rnacentral:rRNA from 1 species
UUUGAUGGCGACCGGCGCACGGGUGAGUAACACGUAUCCAACCUGCCGAUGACUCGGGGAUAGCCUUUCGAAAGAAAGAUUAAUACCCGAUGGCAUAGUUCUUCCGCAUGGUGGAACUAUUAGAGAAUUUCGGUCAUCGAUGGGGAUGCGUUCCAUUAGGUUGUUGGCGGGGUAACGGCCCACCAAGCCUUCGAUGGAUAGGGGUUCUGAGAGGAAGGUCCCCCACAUUGGAACUGAGACACGGUCCAAACUCCUACGGGAGGCAGCAUG